GGAUUAGAUACCCCGGUAGUCCACGCCCUAAACGAUGUCUACUAGUUGUCGGGUCUUAAUUGACUUGGUAACGCAGCUAACGCGUGAAGUAGACCGCCUGGGGAGUACGGUCGCAAGAUUAAAACUCAAAGGAAUUGACGGGGACCCGCACAAGCGGUGGAUGAUGUGGAUUAAUUCGAUGCAACGCGAAAAACCUUACCUACCCUUGACAUGUCAGAGAGCUCGAAGAGAUUUGAGUGUGCUCGAAAGAGAAUCUGAACACAGGUGCUGCAUGGCUGUCGUCAGCUCGUGUCGUGAGAUGUUGGGUUAAGUCCCGCAACGAGCGCAACCCUUGUCAUUAGUUGCUACGAAAGGGCACUCUAAUGAGACUGCCGGUGACAAACCGGAGGAAGG
rnacentral:rRNA from 1 species